rnacentral:rRNA from 1 species
GAUGAACGCUGGCGGUAUGCUUAACACAUGCAAGUCGAACGGAGCCUUUCGGGGCUUAGUGGCGGACGGGUGAGUAACGCGUGAGAAUCUGGCUUCAGGUCUGGGACAACCACUAGAAAUGGUGGCUAAUACCGGAUGUGCCGAAAGGUGAAAGGCUUGCUGCCUGAAGAUGAGCUCGCGUCUGAUUAGCUAGUAGGUGUGGUAAGAGCGCACCUAGGCGACGAUCAGUAGCUGGUCUGAGAGGAUGAUCAGCCACACUGGGACUGAGACACGGCCCAGACUCCUACGGGAGGCAGCAGUGGGGAAUUUUCCGCAAUGGGCGAAAGCCUGACGGAGCAAUACCGCGUGAGGGAGGAAGGCUCUUGGGUUGUAAACCUCUUUUCUCAGGGAAGAACACAAUGACGGUACCUGAGGAAUAAGCAUCGGCUAACUCCGUGCCAGCAGCCGCGGUAAUACGGAGGAUGCAAGCGUUAUCCGGAAUGAUUGGGCGUAAAGCGUCCGCAGGUGGCUGUGUAAGUCUGCUGUUAAAGAGCAAGGCUCAMCCUUGUAAAGGCAGUGGAAACUACACGGCUAGAGUGCGUUCGGGGCAGAGGGAAUUCCUGGUGUAGCGGUGAAAUGCGUAGAGAUCAGGAAGAACMCCGGUGGCGAAGGCGCUCUGCUAGGCCGCAACUGACACUGAGGGACGAAAGCUAGGGGAGCGAAUGGGAUUAGAUACCCCAGUAGUCCUAGCCGUAAACGAUGGAUACUAGGCGUGGCUUGUAUCGACCCGAGCCGUGCCGUAGCUAACGCGUUAAGUAUCCCGCCUGGGGAGUACGCACGCAAGUGUGAAACUCAAAGGAAUUGACGGGGGCCCGCACAAGCGGUGGAGUAUGUGGUUUAAUUCGAUGCAACGCGAAGAACCUUACCAAGGCUUGACAUGUCGCGAAUCUUUCUGAAAGGAGAGAGUGCCUUCGGGAGCGCGAACACAGGUGGUGCAUGGCUGUCGUCAGCUCGUGUCGUGAGAUGUUGGGUUAAGUCCCGCAACGAGCGCAACCCUCGUUUUUAGUUGCCAGCACUUCGGGUGGGCACUCUAGAGAGACUGCCGGUGACAAACCGGAGGAAGGUGGGGAUGACGUCAAGUCAGCAUGCCCCUUACGCCUUGGGCUACACACGUACUACAAUGCUCCGGACAGAGGGCAGCAAGCAUGCGAAUGCAAGCUAAUCCCGUAAACCGGAGCUCAGUUCAGAUCGCAGGCUGCAACUCGCCUGCGUGAAGGAGGAAUCGCUAGUAAUUGCAGGUCAGCAUACUGCAGUGAAUUCGUUCCCGGGCCUUGUACACACCGCCCGUCACACCAUGGAAGCUGGUAGUGCCCGAAGUCAUUACUCCAACCUUUGGGGGGGGAGGAUGCCUAAGGCAGGACUGGUGACUGGGGUGAAGUCGUAACAAGGUAGCCGUACCGGAAGGUGUGGCUGGAUCACCUCCUUU